AGAAAAACGAAGAUAGGGAUAAGUACCUUUUCAAACCUUAUAUAGCGAACUGAGGACGGUGUAAGCUCAGGAUAAGGAGAUUAGUGGGAAUAUCACCCUGGAGUUCCGCGCUGAACAAAUAGAGUAAGCGUAGGCGUGUAUUCGCGUUAAGAAUAUAAAGAGGGUUUUAUACAUAUGUAUAGAAUCUACUAGGGUGGUACCGCGGGAGACUUUCUCGUCCCUUUU
rnacentral:ncRNA from 1 species